UACGUAGGGGGCUAGCGUUGUCCGGAAUCAUUGGGCGUAAAGCGCGCGUAGGCGGCCAGAUAAGUCCGGUGUGAAAGUCACAGGCUCAACCUGUGAAUGCCGCUGGAAACUGUCUGGCUAGAGUCCGGAAGGGGCGAGUGGAAUUCCUGGUGUAGCGGUGAAAUGCGCAGAUAUCAGGAAGAACACCGGUGGCGAAAGCGCUCUGCUGGACCUUAACUGACACUGAGGGACGAAAGCUAGGGGAGCGAAUGGG
rnacentral:rRNA from 1 species